CUUCUGCCCGUCUGUAUUUGAUUUGAUCAGUUUGAUUUUGGUUGUUCGUUCGUGCGACUCGUUCGCUGCACUUUGGUUUUUCUCGUUCCGUAAUCUGCCUCUCAUUGGUUCUUGUCGAUCUUCUACCAGUCUUGUGCGGCGAAAUCUACCGGCGAAAUCUACCGGCUCUGUCGAACGGUAAGAAUUUCGUAUAGAUCUGUGUGUUUUAUUGGCUUCGGUGUCAUUUUGUUAGGUUUAUUAAGUUUCUAUUCAUUUUACAUGCUACUUCGAGGACAAACCCGACCACUCUACUCUCGUAUGAUAAUUUUCAAAUCUUCCUCAGUAAUCGUUGGUUCUUGUGAAUGUUCCAAAGUUCCGGCGUUGUGCUGUCAACUGUACCCUCUUUGUUUAAAGGUGAGAAAUCCCUACAGAUUUGUGUAUGUUUCUGGAUUUGGUGUCAUUCUAUGGGGUUUCAUUGCGGCGGUGUGACCAUUUUUUUGUUUAAUUUUUAUUUUUAUUUUUUGACAUAAAGUGUUUAAAAUUUUAGAAGUCCUCUGUUUUUUUUGGGGGUUUAAGUGCAUACGGAAUGGAUAUUUUAGAAUGUGAACUGAAGAUGUGUAAUUUUAGAUGCAUUGAAAAUAAUUAGUUGUAUUUAUUUUUUUUAUUCUCUGGGUUCAUUCUGUGUGUUUACUCCGAUUUACUGUACGUUCUUCGUCAAUCAAAUGGUGAGAAAUCACUAGAAUUCUAUGUGUUUUUUUGCCUUUUUGGGUUUGGUAUGAAUUUGUGAUUCUCUCGAGUUUUGUUUUGGUUCUAUGUGCAUACUUUUUCGAUUUUUUUGACGUAAAGGGUUUAAAAUCUUAGAAGUUGUAUGUUUUUUUAGGGGUUUAAGCUUACAUGGAAUGGAGAUUUCAGAUUUUAAACCGAAAAUAUGUUAUUUGGAGAUAUCGAAAAUAAAUAGGUGUAUUUUUUCCCUCCCCUUAGGUUUAUUUUGGGUGUUUUUUUGAUUUCCUGAUUUCUCCUUUUUAAAAUUCCGAUAUCUGUCUUAAAUAUUUUGCUUCUGUUUAUUGGGUGAAUUGUCCUUUUCUUGUUUUCAAUACAUUGUGCUUUGAUCUAGAUUUACUAAGGAAAUUGGGGGUGAAUUUUGUAAAUUAGUUUAAUUGUUGUUUCAAUAUUUGGUCCAUUCUUACAACUUCAAUCUCAUGCUCGUUCAUUGAUAUUGUGCAAGGUCUGACUGAUAGUCAUCUCUUGGGAUCUCUUUCUUUUUCAUUUUCUGUUGGCAGCAGAUAUGAUUACUUGUACUUUAGGGUUUAAUAUUCUGUUAGUGUAAUUAUAUGUUGCGUUACGUUGGUGUUCUUUUGUUGCAGAGAUAUGUAUAAUUUUAUUGAAUGUAGCUUCUUUGUGUUUUCUUGUUCUUUGGGUUAUCUACCCUUCUAUUACCUUAAAUAUCGUGUAUGUAUUUUUAUAUCCAUGGUUAUCAAAAGAAUUUUAAUGUAAUUUGUCUACUUGUUUGGAUGCCAAGUGAAAUUAUUGGAUGCCAAGUGAAAUUAUUGAAAGAUUGAAUACUUAUGGUGAUUUAGCUUAAGAAAGGUCAUUAUUGCAUUGAAAAAUUAUAUUUUUAUCCCUUCAAUCCAUCUUUGAUUGAUUGAGUUGAGAAUAGAAUUGAGUCUGUUAUUGGCUUUUUCCUUGAGAUGAUUUACAGAAUUCAGAUGUUUUUUUUUUAAUCUAAAUUUCAAUGUUUUUGAGUUAAUAAGCUGUUGGGUUUUAUAAAAUUAGAUGAUUUAUUAUGUUUAUAAGAAGAUUAAAUUUUUUUGCUCAUCCUAACUUUUAAAGAAAGUCCAAAUUUCAAAGGGAAAACCAAAAGUAAAAAAUUUGCCUAUUUGUUCGAAAUUCAAAUCCUAAUUCACCACCUUAAUUUUCCUACCACCUGUACCCAUCGCACCUGUGGUGCAGACGGAGAGGCAGCAGUGGUAGCAGCUGUUUAUGUCAGAAGUGGUAGCAGCUGUUUAUGUCCGAUGGAUUAUUUCUCUUCUUUGGGUUUUUUUCCCCUUUUUUUUAUUUGUACGUCUAUUUGAACAAUUUUUUUUUUGGUGCCUAAGUUUUGGCAAUCAAUGAAACUGGAUGGUGGGGUGGUUCUGGCACAUAAAGAUACGUUCUGUAGGGUUAUUUUGGUUAUUUUUACCCUGAAAUAAUUUCUUGUUUGAUUUUUGAAUUUGAGACUGUAUUCUUUUAGAUUUAUUUUCCUUUUCAGAUUGGAAUUGGACUUUUUGGUUAAUCAUUGUAAUGAUUUUUUCAUUCAUUUGAUGAUUUUUAUUAGUUUGAAUUAUUAGUGGGUUUGCAUUUAUUGCUGAAAGAAAAGAAUAAUAGCUUGGUUUCUUAAUUAUAACUAUUGCUUUUACCUCCUCCUUUACUGCUGAGCUGACUUGAUAAUCAUACAUAAUUCUUAAGUAUAUUGUUUUGAAUAUUUGGGCAUAAAAUUAUCAGUUUCUUUCUGGGGUUUUCUCUUUUUCUAUUUUGUUUUUUUACUUAUGUACGCUUAGUCCUUAUGCAAAGAUUUAUAGAGCAAGUUUGGCAAAGCUUGAAAAAUUAUUUAUAUAAGUUGAAAAUAACUAUUUCUUUUAUUGGUUUAAGUUGAAUACAUGUAAAUUACUUACUUUUUGAAAUCGUAAAUUACUUUUGACACUUGUGAUUACCAACCAAGAGAUUCCAAGGUCACUGGAAUUUAAGUCCAUUGAAUUUACUCAAUACUAUGUUAAGCCGAUAUAUCAUUUAUAGGUGUAUGGGUAUCGAAAUGGGUUUAUUUACUCUUUACCUGUGACUGCUACCCAAUAUAAUUUAAAUCCAUUGAAAAUGUAGAUUAUUGGGAAAUGGUUUUUAUUUAUUUAUUUAUUUUUCCCGGUUUUGUUCUGUAUAUGUUUGUGAUCUAUUUGCCGGUUGCUUGAUUGAUCAAUUAUAUGGUUAGAUUGUGAAAUUCUAGGAAACUAGGUUAGCAUGUGAAUGAACCUGUUAAUACAACUGACUCUAUCAUUGAAGAUUAGACAUGGCAGAGGAAGAACUGAAGCGUAUUGCUGAAUAUGUGGUAUGCAAAGUUUUGCUUUUUAUUUACUAUGUGCCACAUUGUAUAUUCUGAUAUGAUAUAGAAGAUUAGUAUAAAAAUUUCAUUUUUCUCUCUUCAUAUUCGAGCCCUUGCCAAGGGGAAGGAGAAUCUAACCUAUGUAGUGAGUCCAAUAACCUGAUUAUUGAUACUAGUCGAUUCCAAUACAAUAUUCCAAGUAUGGUUUUAACAAAUGUUGUGAUUUUUCAGGAGGAGAAAUCAAAAGGGAAGGUUGCUGAUUUCAGGCCAAAUAUUCUUAUGCUUGGACUUCCUCCUCCUGAUUAUGUUCUGCGCACAGUUUCUAACGUUCACACUAAUGAUUUGGAGCAGACAUUGCUAGUAAGUGCGGUGACAUUCGUACAUUGAAGCCAUCUAUCUUGUGUGUUGGUUGAUGGAUAAUUUCUUAUUGUCAUCAGUGGAAUUAUAUCUAAUGUACAUUCGUUGUGUUUGUAUCAGAAAUUUCUAUCCAUCAAUUGUAUCACUGCUUUUAUUAGUUUGAAAACAAUGAACUCCUAUGAAAUAUCCAUAUACCCCUUCAACCACGAGAUUUUAGCAUCUGUCAAUUUGAUCAUUUUAUUUUUGGCAUUACGAAUUUUUUUAUUCAUUGUUAUAUUGAUUGACUAUGUGGUGUUGCAUUCGGUUAGAAUUGACAUGUAUGAUUGCAAGUUUGCUUUAGCUCCAUAAAUAUCAUAGUUUGGUGAAUUCUUACAAAUUAAAAGCAGUUAUACUUGUUGAUUGGGAUAACCUAAACAAGGUGGUUGUAUUAAGUCUGUUCUCAUCAGUAGAACUAAUAGUUUUUGCUAUUAAGUCUCAUGCUAAUGAAGUACAGUUAAAAAUAAAAUGCACAUUUUGUAGCUAUGAAUCAUGUUCUGAAUAUGAUCUUGGUUCAGUUUUUCUGUUGAGCUUGUAAAGUAUGUUUAUGGUUAACUAUUCCAUUUUUCACAUCACAUUUGUAAAAGGUUAAAUAAUUUCUAUUUGACUUUCUUGCAGGCUCUACCAUUCUAAGAUGCUUUAAAAACCGUCUCAUUUGAAAUAUUGGGUUUCUUUACCCGAUAAGGUUAGUGCAUCUUGAGAACAAUUAUAUUGUAUCACACGACAGCUUGAAUUGAAUUGCACAAACUGAAUGAAGAUCUAUCUGCCAUAUAUUUUAAUCUGUCACUCUUCAGUGGUUAAUGUUUAAGGCACCAUGGUUUUGCCUAGUUCAAAUGUUUGUCUGUGGUGCAAUGCACGUCCUUUUCACCAUGGAAAUUGGCAAGCCUGUGAUUUUCUUGUACUUCUUUUGUUUAACCCAUUUAAUUUUUAGCCCUUGCUUAUUAUGUCAUCCAUUGCAAUUCUAUUUUACUAUUUUUAUUUUUUGGGUGUGUGGAUAGUUUGAGCUUUUUUAGGGGAAGGUGCAUUCCGCAAUGUCUUGCUUGUUUGUAAAACAGCAAAAGUACUUGGUGCAUUUUCUUAAAUAUAUGUUACUGCAUUGAUUUUGAUCUUUGUGAUUCUAGGUUGGGUACACAAGCUUACACCCCCUUCACAUGGAGGUGGGCCCACAUAUAAUAAGAUAUUCGUGGCCCCCCCUUCCAUUUGAGGGAAGUGUAAGGCUGUGUGUACACCUUAGCAUUUUCCUUCUAGGUUUAGCUGGUAGGUCAUCAACUCCUUGACCAUUUGAAGUUAUUGAUAGCUAUUAUCUUCAGUCACUAAUUUGAGUUUUGAAUUUUUACUUUACAUUAUUUUUACAAUCUAACAAGUUAUAUUACUUUAUUAAUUCUUAGAUUUAAAUGCGUCAUUGGUUCGACGAAUGUCUUCUCCAAACAACUUGCAAGAGUUCAAGAAAUUUUCUUUUGAAGAAUUAGAAUGAGAUGAUUCUAAUAUAAUUUUGUUGAUUGUCUUUUCGAGCAUAUAUUGUUAUUAGUAUUUGAUGUGAGAUGGAACAUAAUUAGAUUUCUUUAUUGAACAACUAAACUUGUAUAUUUCUACAAGACAAUAUUGAUGCAUGUUUUGGAAUUUAUUAUU
rnacentral:lncRNA from 1 species